GACGAACGCUGGCGGCGUGCUUAACACAUGCAAGUCGAACGGAAAGGCCUUGCUUUUGUGGGGUGCUCGAGUGGCGAACGGGUGAGUAACACGUGAGUAACCUGCCCUUGACUUUGGGAUAACUUCAGGAAACUGGGGCUAAUACCGGAUAGGAGCUCCUGCUGCAUGGUGGGGGUUGGAACGUUUCGGCGGUUGGGGAUGGACUCGCGGCUUAUCAGCUUGUUGGUGGGGUAGUGGCUUACCAAGGCUUUGACGGGUAGCCGGCCUGAGAGGGUGACCGGCCACAUUGGGACUGAGAUACGGCGCAGAGUCCUACGGGAGGCAACAGUGGGGAGUAUUGCACAGUGGGCGGAAGCCUGAGGCAGCAACGCCGCGUGCGGGAUGACGGCUUUCGGGUUGUAAACCGCUUUAGCCUGUGACGAAGCGUGAGUGACGGUAAUGGGUAAAGAAGCACCGGCUAACUACGUG
rnacentral:rRNA from 1 species